rnacentral:lncRNA from 1 species
GUGUCCCUCAGGUGAUGACACGAAGUUACGCAUCAACAACUAGGUGAAACUUCCUAUGGGGUCCAAUGGCAUGCGUGUGCUUCUCUUCUGCUGGACACCAAUUAUUGUCAUGAUAGAGAUGAACUCGUCGAUAAGUGUGGCCAGUGGCAAGGUCUGUUUCAAUCCUGCCAAACUCAUUAUGUUAGAUGGCAUCAAAGCAACAUAGGACCACUAGAAGAACAGGGGCAUUGAAUCUUAACGGGCCAACUCAGGUUAUACAGUUGACAUGACAGGGGAUUAGGAUCAUCAGUAAUCUGACUAGCACUUUACACCUACUGUGGUGCCAUCUCAAUCUUGGCCCUUUCUCCAGGACCACACCUCACUGACUGUUCGGCAUGAAACGGAUACCUGCUCAAUAAAGUGACAAUCCACCAGCAGAAACAGAAGCACAAUGCUAGGUGCAAACCAAGUUGGGUAAUUGAAGAACAGAACAGCAAGCAGAGAAAUGCCAUCUUUGAGUAUGGAAAAAUCAUAGGCAUUCAGUUCUGCAAUCCUCUGAAGCCGCUGCAACUGAACUGACAGAUAUAGAAGUGUGUAAUAACUAUGAUUUCCAGAAUGAUCGGUACCAGACCAAAUUGAUCGCAAAAGUCUGAACUAAACCCUAAAUUUGUGAACCCACCUCCCAGCGAUCCCCCCUCAACUCUCCCGAUUCGUCCCCCAACAUAGCAUCCGGCAUCACAGUGAACCGCAAUUUCAGUUGAGCAGACCUCACAGCCACAGGGACCGCAGGGGCGCGCGCGCGCAAUCUGUUUGACGAAAAUACUAGGCGACGCCCACAAAACAAUCUGCGUGCAGUUAAGCGGGGUGAGAUGAGCGGUCUUGGGGAGAGCACCUGGUGGUUCGUCGGAAGCAGACCUCGCCGGAGUAAUCUCCACAUCCACCGCCACCCCCGCCGACCAGAAGCUUCUC